GGAGGAUGCGAGCGUUAUCCGGAUUUAUUGGGUUUAAAGGGUGCGUAGGCGGAUUGAUAAGUUAGAGGUGAAAUGUCCGAGCUCAACUCGGGAACUGCCUCUAAUACUGUUGAUCUAGAGAGUAGAUGCGGUAGGCGGAAUGUAUGGUGUAGCGGUGAAAUGCUUAGAGAUCAUACAGAACACCGAUUGCGAAGGCAGCUUACCAAGCUACUUCUGACGUUGAGGCACGAAAGCGUGGGGAGCAAA
rnacentral:rRNA from 1 species